UACGUAGGCAGCGAGCGUUGUUCGGAGUUACUGGGCGUAAAGAGUGCGUAGGCGGUUUUCUAAGUUUGGUGUGAAAUCUCCCGGCUUAACUGGGAGGGUGCGCCGAAGACUGGAAGGCUUGAGUAUGGGAGAGGUAAGCGGAAUUCCUGGUGUAGCGGUGAAAUGCGUAGAUAUCAGGAGGAACACCAGUGGCGAAGGCGGCUCACUGGACUGGUACUGACGCUGAUGCGCGAAAGCGUGGGGAGCAAACAGG
rnacentral:rRNA from 1 species